rnacentral:sRNA from 1 species
UACUCCUUGUUCGGUUAUAACAUGGCCUA